UGUGCAUACUCAGCCUGCCAAAGGUGCC
rnacentral:piRNA from 1 species